UACGAAGGGGGCUAGCGUUGUUCGGAUUUACUGGGCGUAAAGCGCACGUAGGCGGAUCGUUAAGUCGGGGGUGAAAGCCUGUGGCUCAACCACAGAAUGGCCUUCGAUACUGGGACGCUUGAGUAUGGUAGAGGUUGGUGGAACUGCGAGUGUAGAGGUGAAAUUCGUAGAUAUUCGCAAGAACACCGGUGGCGAAGGCGGCCAACUGGACCAUUACUGACGCUGAGGCGCGAAAGCGUGGGGAGCAAACAGG
rnacentral:rRNA from 1 species